AUGACAUAACAGAUAUGACUUUGUUUAUCUUUAGAGAAUUUGGUGUGUAUAGCAGAUUUUAACUAGUCAUUUAGUUACUUUAGUAUAUUAGUGAUUUUGCCAGUGCUUAUUAUAAAUCAACCAUUUUCAAAUAACAAAAUCGUUUCUUAUCAAUUUUUUCCCUUAGUAGAUACUGUGGAUUCACUUAUUUUCGUGGGGACCAAUUUUUGUGGAGAACUUACAUGUUCGUGGAUAUUUAUUUUCAUGUGUUGAAGUCUGCAAACAAGCUUUUAGAAAAAUUCGUAUUAAUUGAUUAUUUAAUUUCGUGAUUAACCUGUACCUAUAAAAUCCACGAACAUUGGUAUCCAACAAAUAAUAAUGAAUCCACAGUAUAUAAAAGCAAAACAAACAAAAAAAACAACAUUUGUAUUCAAACAAAAUUUUUCUAGAAUCAUAAUAAUAAUAAGUCUAAUAAAUAUACUCUUCUCUAUUGUUGAAAACCAUAUGUUGAUCUCUAGGUGUCUUUUGUGUUUUUUUUCUAUUGUUUGGUUGCUGUUUUUGACAUAUACUUCAUAUCUCCAUAGUAAACUAAAUCCCUUUCAAUGUAAUUCGAACAAUAACAAUUUUACGGGUUUACAUGUAUAAAUAAGAGUGAAUAAUGAGACUUGUUUGUUGUCAGACAUUUUAGACUGCGAAUUUGAUUGAAGAUAGUCAGGAUAUACUUGUUAACCCUUUCCUCCAUAAUGACGUUUUUUGACGCCACCCCCUUUACUCCAUAAUGACGACUUUUGACGCCUGUGUAGUACCUCAGUUGAAACGCUUAGACUACGAAAUGUCUGCAUUGGACUUAAAAAAAUUAGCAUCCAAUAUGAAAAGGAUAUUCAUAAGAAUAUCUGAUUUGAAUUUCAUUGAUGAAAUAUUCAUUUUCACAAUGCAUUAAUACUUUAAACCCGAUGAUUUUUUUUUUAUUAAAAAAAUCCUAUGCAAAUCAAGUAUGUAAGAAAAUAAAUUCCACGGAGGAAAGGGUUAACCAAUCAUUGUGUCACAACUUCAUUCAAUGAAAGUAUAUUUAUGUCUUGAAUAUAAUUUAAUAUUCAUUUGUAAUGUAUCAAAAUAUAUAACAAAAUUAUCAUGAUUAUUAAAUUUGUACAGUAAUUUGAAACUUGUCAUAAAUCUGAUUGGUCAUAUAAAAACUAUGUCUAAAAGUUACUACUUUAUUUGUUUGAAGCAUCUGUUAUUGUUAUAGAAUUUUGGGAUUGCAUUAAGUUUCGGGCUGAUAUGGGGGUGUCAGGAUGAUACCCAGGCCGAUAAGGAAAAGUCCAUGCAUUAGUCUCAAUGUAUUGCCUCUCACUAAUUAAGUUAAUAUAGUUAUAUUAUUUAUAUUGUUCCGCUAUGAGUGCAAUCAAAACUAUUAUUUCUUUCCUUUACAAAGAAGGGUUGGUAUACUGGUUUACCUCUGUCCAUGUUUCCAUAUCAAUUUUGAUAUGACACCAUUUUGAGUUGUCGCAUGUUUGCUAUUUGAAUGAUGAUUCAUAUCAUAUCAUACAUUUCUAAACAUUCUGAUAAAUCAAAUUCUGUAACUUAACAGAAACAAAAAAAACAUUUUGCACAUCUGAGAGGUAUGUAGCUCCAACAUCUCUGCCAUUCCAAAACUAUCAGCUCUCAGCAUUCUUAUUAGGAUUAGUGUAAAAUAGUUCUUUGACUGCAGAAAACUGUAUAAUCUUGAUUCUUCUUUUUUAUUAUUAGAUAUAUGUAUGAUCUCAUUUGCUAUUGUAAGAUAAAUAAUUUCUGUAAAUAAUUAAAAUGUGUGCUUUUGUGAAUAGCGUUAAAGGGCAUAUUAACAAAGCAAUGUCUUUCUAGGACUAUUUUCAGUGGACUUGACAUACUGUUAGCAUAUUUUCAUAGAUAAUUUUUAUUUACCAGUCAAAAUUUUGACGGGACGUAUUAUGGUAUAUAAAUGUCCAGCAUCCGUCUGUCCGUCUAUCAGUCUGUCUGUCCCAUGUAAACAUGUCGUACCUUAAAUUGAGAACGACUUAUCCAAAUUUCAUGAAACUUAACAUAGUUGUUUCUUAUGAUGGUCAAACGAUCUGUAUACUUUUUGGUGGAAAUUAGAAUAAAACUUUUUGAGUUACGGGACUUUGUAACUAAAACCAGGGUGUGUUUUUUUUCAAAUGACAUGUCACACCGUAUCUCAAAAACAAUUUAUGAUUAUUGCUUAAAACUUUACACACUUCUUACUUAGAUUAAUCUUAAAAUCUGUAUACUUUUUGGUGAUGAUUCUAAAUUUUAUUGUAAAGUUAUUGAGUUUUUUUGUAAAAAAAGGGGGGGGGGGGGAGUUUCACAUGUCACACUGUAUCUCAGAAACUGUUCAUGAUUAUUGCAUAAACUUCAAACACAAGAAGACGUAUCAUGCGCUCAUGGUGCAGCUGUUUAUUUAAUUGUUUAGUCCUUUUGAUCUAAUUUCUUAAAGAUAUGUUUUAACUAAUUUUGACAAGUACAUGACUAUUUGAAUUUAUGUCUUUUUUCUUCUCGCAACACUCACUUAAACAAGUUUUUAUAGUAUUUCAGAAAUCCAGAGAAAUAUUCUUUGAAAAUAAACAUAACUUAUUCUAUGCCUCAUAAAUGUAAAACUACUUGACAAUGAAUAUUUCGUUCUAUGAAAAACAACAAAUUAUCUGCACUUCAUUAUUAAAAUAUUUGGUUUGAUUCCGAUUGUCUUUUAAAAAUUUCUACAUUUAAUACUUGGAAUGAUUAAUUAUAGAACAUUCCAUGUUUUAAGUAUCUAUGUAACACUUGUCAGAUUGGUUCUAUUUUUAUGGUUGUUUUGUUUUUGUGAAUUACUGUAGAAGUUCUUAUAUUCAUAAUCCUAAAUGACAGUUUUUCCAUUCUGUUGACAAAAAAUUUGCUCAUGAGAUUUUUAUGAGAUUUUAUUAUUAGUAUUGGACAUCAAACCCUGUCAAUGAAACAUAUUCUUUUUACAUGGUAUUAAAAUGUAUGAUUUUCAUGAGCAAUGAAAUUUUUUUCUUGGUGUUAAUUUAAUCUUUAUAUUAUAGUUUUCAUGAGCAAUGGAAAAUAAGAAUUGAAUUGAAACCAAGAAAGAACAGUAAUCUAACAAGUAUCUUUCUUGAUUGUUUUAUUUUUUUAACAUUCAAUACUUGGACUUGGUUCAGUAAAACUGACAAAGCAUGAUUUUGAAUAUGUACAUAUCUUGUAUCUAACUACAAUGUAUCUGUUUCUGUUGAUGAAAAAGUAUUUUAACAGUUUAGUGUUUAAUGAUUUUUUGUGAUUUAAAAGUAUGUAUAUGUGAAUAUUUAUUUUGAUGGAAGAAUUAAAAAACUUUAGGAAAAGCAUUGCUUAUUGUUUGUAAGAAAUACAUUAUUCUGUGAUAAAAACCAAACAUUAUUCAAUAAAAUAUCAAAGAAAAG
rnacentral:lncRNA from 1 species